rnacentral:other from 1 species
AUGUAUCUGCGGUGUACGGAGUUCGCUUAUUUUGCGGAAUCCACAUUGAUUAUUCGGGAGCGCGGGUCUUUCCUACUUUGCAAGGUCUGUAUUUAUACGGAAAGUCUGUCGUAGGCGAGCAGCGCACCCACCUGCUUUUUGCGGGUUCACCGAAUGCGAUCUGCGGCACAGGCGGAUAUACU